GCCCAGCUAGCUCAGUUGGUAGAGCAUGAGACUCUUAAUCUCAGGGUCAUGGGUUUAAGCCCCAUGUUGGGCA
rfam:Leptosomus discolor contig15805, whole genome shotgun sequence.